CCUGACCCCGCCGCCCACCCGCUUCCACCCUGGGGUGGGACCACUCCUACCUGGGGCCCCCUGUCCAGCCGGGGCUAGCUGGACCGCUAUGUGUAGCUAUAGGUCUGCUUUAGGUCAGGGGAUGGACGGAUGAAAAGCUAGACAGAUAAACGGUGGCUGUAUGCAUGGAUGAUAGAUGGAUAGAUCUGAUGUUCCUGUGUUAAAUAGUAUAGAUCAGUUUAUGGAUGUAGGAAACAUGGAUUCUAGGUGUAGUGUGUGUGUGUGUGUGUGUGUGUGUGUGUGUGUGUGUG